rnacentral:rRNA from 1 species
GACGAACGCUGGCGGCGUGCUUAACACAUGCAAGUCGAACGAAGUGGCGAACGGGUGAGUAACGCGUAAUCAACCUGCCCUUCAGAGGGGGACAACAGUUGGAAACGACUGCUAAUACCGCAUACUGAAGGAGGGGUUUGCGUCUGAUUAGCUAGUUGGAGGGGUAACCGCCCACCAAGGCGAUGAUCAGUAGCCGGUCUUGGGGGAUGGACGGCCACAAUGGGACUGAGACACGGGCCAGACUCCUACGGGAGGCAGCAGUGGGGAAUCAUCCGAAAUGGACGGAAGUCUGACGGAGCAACGGCGCGUGAGUGAUGACGGGCUUCGGGUUUGAAAGCUCUGUUAAUCGGGACGCGGUACCGGAAUAGAAAGCAACGGCUAACUACGUGCCAGCAGCCGCGGUAAUAC